rnacentral:rRNA from 1 species
GCUAUUUACGUGCCCGCGCCGCUGUAAUACGUAAGGUGCGAGCGUUAAUCGGAAUUACUGGGCGAAAAGCGUGCGCAGGCGGUUAUAUAUGACCGUUGUGAAAUCCCCGGGCUCAACCUGGGAAUUGCAUUUGUGACUGUAUAACUGGAGUACGGGAAAGGGGGAUGGAAUUCCGGGGUGUGCAGUGAAAUGCGUAGAUAUGCGGAGGAACACCGAUGGCAAAGGCAAUCCCCUGG